AAGGAGUGUCCAGCAGCCAACUAUAUGCCUGCAUUUCUGAGGCCAUCAUUUAUCUUGAAUUGGCAGGACUUGAGGUCCGGUCAUUGGUCUGUGAUGGGGCAUCACCCAGUAGGACGUUUUUCAGAUUACAUGGCAAUGGCACAUCUUCAUCUCCGACGUACACCACGCCUAACCCAGCGGAUCCAUCAAGGAAGGUGUACUUCAUCUGCGACGUGUUGCACCUGAUGAAACCACUCUAAGCAAUCUGGAGAAUUCCGUCUACUACAAGACAAGAAAUCUAAUGUAUGACAAGCAGAGCCUCAGCUGGUCUCAAUUCCUGCAAUUAUACGAAUGGGACGUUGGCCUGAUGAGAAGUUCAGCGGGCCUCCGCCAUCCCCACAAGAUCUCUCGAGAGCAUAUCCAUUUGACACCAUCAUUGCAAAUGAGGGUGUACAUGGCAGGUCAGGUAUUAAGUUCCACUGUUACUACUCCUUGGAGUCAAUGAAACCAUCUGCAACUUCAUCCACUGUAAAGUUUAUCAGGCUGAUGGAUCAAUUCUUUAUCUAAAUGCGAGCAACCCACUUCAGGGAAUGCAGUCACGCAAAACUGCCCUAGACCCAUACACGAGUAUUGAGGACUGGCGUUUCAAGUUUCUGAAGUCCCCUCAUUUGUGGAACUUGCAAAAGUUCUGCUGAGUUCUGGUGUGAAGUACGUCCUCAGUGAAAAGCUAAACCAGGACCCCUCCGAGGAGUACUUCAGCAAACAGAGGGCUGCAGGGGGAAGCUGGGACAACCCAACAGUGGAACAAUUCAGACACAAUAUGCUUUCGCUGUGUGACGCUUCUACUAGUGCAAAGGCUUCCAAGCAGGGAAACGUGCACAAAGGAAACCAGUCUGAAGACACCGUAAUAGACAACGCACCACUCCCCCCCC